rnacentral:rRNA from 1 species
GAUGAACGCUGGCGGCGUGCCUAAUACAUGCAAGUCGAGCGAACGGACGAGAAGCUUGCUUCUCUGAUGUUAGCGGCGGACGGGUGAGUAACACGUGGAUAACCUACCUAUAAGACUGGGAUAACUUCGGGAAACCGGAGCUAAUACCGGAUAAUAUUUUGAACCGCAUGGUUCAAAAGUGAAAGACGGUCUUGCUGUCACUUAUAGAUGGAUCCGCGCUGCAUUAGCUAGUUGGUAAGGUAACGGCUUACCAAGGCAACGAAGCAUAGCCGACCUGAGAGGGUGAUCGACCAGACUGGAACUGAGACACAGUCGAGACUCCUACAGGGAGAAGCAGUAGAGAAUCUUCCGCGAUGGACGAAAGCCUAACGGAGCAACACCGCGUGAGUGAUGAAGGACUUCGGAUCGUAAAACUCUGUUAUUAGGAGAGAACAUAUAUGUUAGUAACUGUGCACAUCUUGACGGUACCUAAUCAGAAAGCCACGGCUAACUACGUG